rnacentral:rRNA from 1 species
AGGGUUUGAUUAUGGCUCAGGAUGAACGCUGGCGGCGUGCCUAACACAUGCAAGUCGAGCGAAGCACUUUGCUUAGAUUCUUCGGAUGAAGAGGAUUGUGACUGAGCGGCGGACGGGUGAGUAACGCGUGGGUAACCUGCCUCAUACAGGGGGAUAACAGUUAGAAAUGACUGCUAAUACCGCAUAAGACCACAGCACCGCAUGGUGCGGGGGUAAAAACUCCGGUGGUAUGAGAUGGACCCGCGUCUGAUUAGCUAGUUGGUAAGGUAACGGCUUACCAAGGCGACGAUCAGUAGCCGACCUGAGAGGGUGACCGGCCACAUUGGGACUGAGACACGGCCCAA